rnacentral:ncRNA from 1 species
AACUUCUAAUCAAACGCUGAUUGGAUAAAAUGCUUCUUAAUGUUUCCUGAGCCUUUCUUGUCUUUUGAGAGAAAGUUUUUGGAUCACCCCAACAGAAAAUUUGUUACAAUUAGCAUUGCCACCUGCGGUUUCCCAGAGCUGAUAUUAAUAUACACUCUUUCUAUAUACGAGUUCAGUUACACGAGAAAAAAAGCGAAGAGUGAGGAAGGUUGUUCGGCUAGCCAAAUCAAGGGAUAGCCGGGUGCUGGUGGGUUGACGAGUUCGUCUUGUUGACCUGUCGGCAUGCUUCCGGAUGCUUUUAAACGGGUGUCGGGAGCAGACGGCAUCUUUACUUUGAACAAAGUUAAGUGCCUGAAAUUUCUUGCAUGGAAUAAUGAAAUAGGACUUCGGUUCUAUUUUGUUGGUUUUCGGAUCCGAAGUAGUGGUUAAGAGGGACAGACGGGGGCAUUUGUGUGGGGGUGUUAGAAGUGAAAUUCUGGGAUUGCCGCCAGACAAACUACAGCGAAAGCAUUUGCCAAGAAUGUUUUCAUUGAUCAGGAGCAAAAGUCAGAGUUUCGAACACGUUCGGAUACCGUCGUAGUUCUGAUCAUAAGUGAUGACAACAGACAAUCCGCGUUGGUUCUAUAAUUGACAUCGCGGGCAGUCCCCGGGAAACCUUUAAGUCUUUGGGCUCCGGGGGGAGUAUGAUUGCAAAGCUGAAACUUAAAGGAAUUGACGGAAGGGCACCACCAGGAGUGGAGCCUGCGGUUUAAUUCGACUCAACACGGGAAAACUCACCCGGCCCGGACUCUGUGAGGAUUGACAGAUUGAUAGCUCUUUCUUGAUUCGGUGGGUGGUGGUGCAUGGCCGUUCUUAGUCGAUGGAGCGAUUUGUCUGGUUAAUUCCGAUAACGAACGAGACUUUAACCUGCUAAAUAGUAGAUUUGUCCUCUGUGCUCGUUUAGGGCGUGGCCCUUAUUGCUUCUUUAUGGAGUAGUGUGGUCUUAAUCCGGCGGGUGCGGUGCCGGUUUUUCCUUCUUAGAGGGACAAGCGGCACACUUAAGUCGCAUGAAAUUGAGCAAUAACAGGUCUGUGAUGCCCUUAGAUGUCCUAGGCUACACGUGCGCUACAAUGACGGUGCCAGCGAGUCUGGAAACCUGACCCGAAAGGAUUGGGCAAACUGUCUCAUCACCGUCGUGACUGGGGUCAGGGCUUGCAAUUAUUCCCCAUAAACGAGGAAUUCCUGGUAAGUGGAAGUCAUAAGCUUGCACUGAUUACGUCCCUGCCUUUUGUAUACACCGCCAAUGAGAAACACUGCUUUUCUCACUAGAACUUCAUGAAAUACCUCUUGAAGUCAUAAGUC